UACGUAGGGUGCAAGCGUUAAUCGGAAUUACUGGGCGUAAAGCGUGCGCAGGCGGAUCAUCAAGUCGGGGGUGAAAUCCCCGGGCUCAACCUGGGAAUUGCGUUGGAGACUGCAAGGCUAGAAUCUGGCAGAGGGGGGUAGAAUUCCACGUGUAGCAGUGAAAUGCGUAGAGAUGUGGAGGAACACCGAUGGCGAAGGCAGCCCCCUGGGUCAAGAUUGACGCUCAUGCACGAAAGCGUGGGGAGCAAACAGG
rnacentral:rRNA from 1 species